UACGAAGGUGGCAAGCGUUGUUCGGAAUCAUUGGGCGUAAAGCGAACGUAGGUGGGUUUGUAAGUAGACUGUGAAAUCCCUGGGCUUAACCCGGGACGUGCAGUCUAAACUGCAAGUCUUGAAUUCUCGAGAGGAUGGUGGAAUUCCUGGAGUAGUAGUGAAAUACGUAGAUAUCAGGAGGAACACCGGAGGCGAAGGCGGCCAUCUGGCGAGACAUUGACACUAAGGUUCGAAAGCGUGGGUAGCAAACAGG
rnacentral:rRNA from 1 species